rnacentral:rRNA from 1 species
GAGUUUGAUCAUGGCUCAGAUUGAACGCUGGCGGCAUACUUUACACAUGCAAGUCGAACGGCAGCACGGAAGAGCUUGCUCUUUUGGUGGCGAGUGGCGAACGGGUGAGUAACGCAUCGGAACGUACCGAGUAGUGGGGGAUAACUGUCCGAAAGGAUGGCUAAUACCGCAUAUUCUCUGAGGAGGAAAGCAGGGGACCUUCGGGCCUUGCGCUAUUUGAGCGGCCGAUGUCUGAUUAGCUAGUUGGUGGGGUAAAGGCCUACCAAGGCGACGAUCAGUAGCGGGUCUGAGAGGAUGAUCCGCCACACUGGGACUGAGACACGGCCCAGACUCCUACGGGAGGCAGCAGUGGGGAAUUUUGGACAAUGGGGGGAACCCUGAUCCAGCCAUGCCGCGUGUCUGAAGAAGGCCUUCGGGUUGUAAAGGACUUUUGUCAGGGAAGAAAAGCUUGAGGUUAAUACCCUU